AAAAAUUAAAAAAAAAAAAAUUGGUUUUAAAAACGUGAAUAAUGAUUAUUAUGUAAUAUUAUGAUAUAUCUUCUCGAACGUUCUACUACAGCCUUAAGCUACAGUGACCCAUUCAAGGGGGACCAAUUGUCCUGAUAUGUCCUCUUUUAACCUCUUCUCAUUAUGGACGUCAAUUAUUCCAAUAUACUUCAGAGGUACAGCAACUGAAGGUUUAUCUCGAUGAAAGUUUCAUUAUUUUUAAACACUACGGAGGUGUACUCGCGGUUAAACUACUAGUAAACGAUACUAUAAUUUAUUAAUUAAAUAUAAGUAGGACCU